rnacentral:rRNA from 1 species
CCCUUCGAUGUUCUGGGCUGCACGCGCGCUACACUGAUAAAGUCAACGAGUUUACAACCUUUUCUGAAAGGAAUGGGUAAUCUUUUGAAACUUUAUCGUGAUGGGGAUAGAAGAUUGCAAUUAUUUUUCUUGAACGAGGAAUGCCUAGUAAUAGUGGUUCAUCAGACCGCUGUGAUUACGUCCCUGCCCUUUGUACACACCGCCCGUCGCUCCUACCGAUUGAGUGGUCCGGUGAGGCUUUGGGAUCUGAGCGGAAAGAGCGUUUCGCUGUUUCUGCUCGGAAAACUCAGUCGAACCUCAUCAUUUAGAGGAAGGAGAAGUCGUAACA